ensembl:snRNA U6 U6 spliceosomal RNA
GUGCUCACUUCAGCAGCACACAUGCUAAAGUUGGACCCGACACAGGGUAGCACGGCCCCUGCACAAGGAUGACACACAAAUUACAUAUUUUU